GGCAACUUCUUCCGAACAAGAGCGCGUAGCCUUUGGCAUUCGGCUUCUAGUUUUGUUAUUUUCUUGACGUCUUCCAAGCGUUGCUUGUUAGCUACCUCUGCGGACCUCAUGCUCAUGUUCUUUUCUUCGUUUCGAAUUUCAAGCUCCUUGGAGAGAAUAUGAAGUUCGUAUUUCCAAGAAUUUAUGUCCUUUUCGCAUGAUUGUAUGUUGUUCUUCAGCAUUUCAAUCUCAGCAUCGGCUUGAGAUUUUUCCUCACUUAUCUUCAUCAACAUAUGGGAGCGUUCUUGAAGAGACCGAGAAA
rnacentral:misc_RNA from 1 species